AAUUGUGUAUUUUUGCAGAGAAAAUGCUUGAUUUUCAUUUAAAUGAGGGAUUUCUUGCAGAGACAAUGCUUGAUUUUUGUUUAAAUGAGGGAUUUCUUGCAGAGAACAUGCGUGAUUUUCGGGUUAAACGGGGGAUUUCUGCAAAAAAAAAAAAAAACAUGAUUCUCAGGUAAAAUUUGGUGUAGUUGAAGAGAAAAUGCAUGAUUUUCAGGUUAAAUGGGGGAUUUCGGAAGAGAAAAUGCGUGUUGUUUGAGAUAAACGGGGGAUUUUUGUAGAGCGAAUGCAUGAUUUUCGGGUUAAAUGGGGGACCUUCCAAGGGAAAAGGCGUGAUUUUCACGUUAAAUGGGGGAUUUUCCAAGAGAAAAUGUGUAAUUUCCAGGUUAAAUGAGGGAUUUUGGAAGAGAAAAUGUGUGAGUUUUGGUUAAAUGGGGGGUUUUCCAGAGAAAAUGCAUGACUUUCUGUUAAAUGGAGGAUUUUUGUGGUGAAAAUGCGUGGUGUUCAGGUUAAAGCAGGGAUUUUCGAUGAGAAAAUACAUGAUUUUGGGGUUAAAUGUGUUUGUUUGUUUGUUUGUUUGUUGUUUGUUUAAAACUUGUGAUUUUUGAUAAAUUAUGUAUUUUUGAAGUGAAAAUGCGUGAUUUUCAGGUUAGAUCAGGGAUUCUUGAAGAGAAAAUGCAUCAUUGUCGGGUUACAUGGGGGAUUUCCAAAGAGAAAUAGCCUUUUUUUUCUGGUUAAAUGGGGGAUUUUUGAAGAGAAAAUGAGUGAUUUUCAGAUUAAAUGGGGAUUCUUGAAGGGAAAAUGUGUGAUUUUCGGGUUAAAUGGGGGAUUCUCGAAGAGAAAAUGGGUGAUUUUCGGGUUUAAACUGCUAUUUUUGUAGAGAAUAUGCAUGAUUUUUGGUUUAAAAGAGGGAUUCUCAAAGAGAAAAUGCAUUAUUUUUGUUUAAAUGGGGUAUUUUUGAAGGGAAAAUGUGUGAUUUUCAG
ensembl:lncRNA